rnacentral:ncRNA from 1 species
GUUUCUGGGGGUGUCCCACCCAUUGCGGGGCUGAGAUAUCGUCGAUUGCCGGCUGUUGAUGGUUAUCCACGAAAUGACCCUUUGAACCUGAUCCGGUUUAUACCGGCGUAGGGAAUGGAA